rnacentral:rRNA from 1 species
UACGGAGGGUGCAAGCAUUGAUCGGAAUGACUGGGCGUAAAGGGCGCGUAGGCGGCUUUUUAAGUCAGAUGUGAAAUUCCGGGGCUCAACCCCGGAGCUGCAUUUGAAACUGAAGAGCUAGUGGCUAGUAAGGGAAAACAGAAUUCCACGUGUAGCGGUGAAAUGCGUAGAUAUGUGGAAGAAUACCGGUGGUGAAGACGGUUUUCUGUGCUAAGCCAGACGCUGAGGCGCGAAAGCUAGGGGAGCAAACAGG